rnacentral:rRNA from 1 species
CGUAGGGGCAAGCGUUGUCCGGAUUUAUUGGGCGUAAAGGGCGCGCAGGCGGCCUUUAAGUCAGUUGUGAAAGGUCUCGGCUCAACCGAGGAGUUGCAGCUGAAACUGGAAGGCUUGAGUGCAGGAGAGGAGAGCGGAAUUCUCGGUGUAGCGGUGGAAUGCGUAGAGAUCGGGAGGAACACCAGUGGCGAAGGCGGCUCUCUGGCCUGUAACUGACGCUGAGGCGCGAAAGCGUGGGAGCAAACAGGAUU